UAGGGAAUCUUCCGCAAUGGGCGAAAGCUUGACGGAGCAACGCCGCGUGAGUGAUGAAGGUCUUCGGAUCGUAAAACUCUGUUAUUAGGGAAGAACAAAUGUGUAAGUAACUAUGCACGUCUUGACGGUACCUAAUCAGAAAGCCACGGCUAACUACGUGCCAGCAGCCGCGGUAAUACGUAGGUGGCAAGCGUUAUCCGGAAUUAUUGGGCGUAAAGCGCGCGUAGGCGGUUUUUUAAGUCUGAUGUGAAAGCCCACAGCUCAACCGUGGAGGGUCAUUGGAAACUGGAAAACUUGAGUGCAGAAGAGGAAAGUGGAAUUCCAUGUGUAGCGGUGAAAUGCGCAGAGAUAUGGAGGAACACCAGUGGCGAAGGCGACUUUCUGGUCUGUAACUGACGCUGAUGUGCGAAAGCGUGGGGAUCAAACAGG
rnacentral:rRNA from 1 species